rnacentral:tRNA from 1 species
GCCUGGUUGGCUCAGUCGGUUGAGCGUCAAACUUCAACUCAGGUCACGAUCUCGCGGUCCGUGGAUUCGAGCCCCGCGUCAGGCU